rnacentral:rRNA from 1 species
GACGAACGCUGGCGGCGUGCUUAACACAUGCAAGUCGAACGGAAAGGCCCUGCUUUUGUGGGGUGCUCGAGUGGCGAACGGGUGAGUAACACGUGAGUAACCUGCCCUUGACUUUGGGAUAACUUCAGGAAACUGGGGCUAAUACCGGAUAGGAGCUCCUGCUGCAUGGUGGGGGUUGGAAAGUUUCGGCGGUUGGGGAUGGACUCGCGGCUUAUCAGCUUGUUGGUGGGGUAGUGGCUUACCAAGGCUUUGACGGGUAGCCGGCCUGAGAGGGUGACCGGCCGCAUUGGGACUGAGAUACGGCCCAGACUCCUACGGGAGGCAGCAGUGGGGAAUAUUGCACAAUGGGCGGAAGCCUGAUGCAGCAACGCCGCGUGCGGGAUGACGGCCUUCGGGUUGGAAACCGCUUUCGCCUGUGACGAAGCGUGAGUGACGGUAAUGGGGAAAGAAGCACCGGCUAACUACGU